GGGGGCUGUCCUGCCUGGCCCCGAAGCCUCGCUGUCCGCACGGCUACCGGGUUCUUCUGCCCGUUGUAAACCAAGGGGUGCCCGGUUCAGGAGGCUGUUUCUACAACCCCUCGUUUUGUAACUGGAUGGUUACAAAAUGGCUACAGCGAGCCGCAUGCCGUCACACCUGAGCAGUGGGGUGUAAACCUCUCCAUACAAACAGGCUGUAGGAUCUAAAAACCACAGAGCUGGGUUACAGAAGAUGCCAACUGUAAAACAACUGCACCAGGAAGUUAAUUUACCAAGAGCAAAGAUUUAGCUCAAAUGUUGAUGGAGCAACUGACUUGAGGUGGCUGAACUUAGACAAUCUGGAUCCUCUUAGCACCUUUGGAGAGAAAGGAGCAUUUUCAGACACGUCUCAGACACUGCCAUGGAUUUAGAGCAGGCUAAUCAAAGGUUUGCAUUAACUGCAAUGCAAGAGGAAGUGGCAAUAUACAACCUGAGGCCCAUUCUGUGGAAUCAGAAGACGGUGAAAGACUUCAGGAGCAGCGUGCCUUGAAUUUGAAUUAGCCAGACUGAAUUUAAAAUCAACAAGCUGAAAGAGCCUGAGAUAAGAAGUCAGAACAUUCAGAGGAAAUGAGAACUGUUCCGGGAACUAAAGCAGAGGGAGAGAGAGAGACUUCCCCUGAACUGGCGACAGGCCUCUAAUGCAGCUGCACUUCUGCUGGCUCCUGAUGCCUUCUGACGGUGUCCCUGUGAUCUCAUACUCCAGAGGUGGCCUUAGCUGUAGCAGAGCGAAUAUCACAACUCCCAGAAUUCACGACUUGGGUGGAGUCAGGAAAAGGUUGCGUGCCUGUCCCUGAUACGGCUGUGUCUCCUGCCAGAACAUCCUGAUGAUAACCUCUGGAGAUCCCACCCCACAGCUCACAGCCUCACUCGCACUGUGACGGCCGCGACGACGAGGAGCAGCGGGAGGAAUCAGGGACCAAAACCAACUCGGGAUACAGCAUCCAAAAGCUCAAGGAUCUGAAGUGACCUGGGCUCCCACUGUUACAAAGAGGAUGGAAGUUGCUCCACAUUAUAAAGAGGAUGGAAGAACAGAUUUUUCCCUGAAGUCAGCUCCCAGACUGACCUGUGACUGCGAGACCUCUGUGCACCCACUGGAUGAACCUCACCCCAGGCCAAAGCUUAAGUGAUGCACUGGGCCACAGUCAUCAACCGGGCGCAGAGGGGAACUUUUACACAGGUAGAAUUAAGCAGUAAGAGCUGAGCUCAUUUCUUGCUUCCUCUCUGGUUUGCUACAGGAAGAUCUAUGUUACAAAGCUUGUGGAAAAGGAGCAGUUAAAAAAUCUCCACUUCUAAUACCUAGAUUUUUUUGAGUACGUAUGUGUUGUGAUUGCCUUGCUCUGGGACUAUCUUAUAGAUUCUUAAAAUAUUCUUGUCUCUUUUUUUCCAUAGGUUUCCUUGCUUUUUUUUUUUAACUUUUGCCAUAUGCUGCCCUGAUGACACUGCCUCCGGGAGGGAGUGUUUGGCCAAUUUCCUUGACAGUGCUGAAAAGUCCCUUUGCAUCCACCUCUCCCGUCCUGUUGCUCCAACUCCUGCACUGCUCACUAUGGAUGAAUUCCUGCCGUGUUUCAUCUAACCACCUCUCAUAUCCCUCGUCGGAGCCUUGUGUGCUCAGCUUACAUCCAGUCUCAUCAGGAUGUCUUUUUGAUUUAAGCCUUUGUCUUCUCCCCGCUAGGCCUAAUACCUCAUCUGUUAGCCACUGCUGGUUUUUGCAUUGUUUCUUUAUCCCAGUCAUAUUGUGUGCUGUGUCUAGGCUGACAUCUUCUCCCUCGCACCAUAGCUCAUUUGGUCCCUUUUUAGUCCUGGCAUGCUGAUAGCACCUCAAACUGGCUGUAAACUUCUACUCCAGAGCUGUCACUGAUACAUCCUGGGAUAAAUCUACUGCAUGGAAAUAGCUUUUGCUUUUGUUUUUUGUUUGUUUCUGUGUAUUUUUAUGGGACAUAACAUGUAACUAUCAGAAGCGAGGAGACAGGUAAAGGAAGAGAAGCAAUGGUUAUUAGGAGUUUGUUGGCACAGGGUCAGAGCAAGUCAGUUUUGUUCAAAGAAGAGAGUGUCGGUGGAACCAUCCUGUCACUGACUAUAAGGCAAAUAGAUUCAGUCUCCACCACAAGAUGAAACGUGUCCUUUCUCUUAUUUUGCUCUUCCCUCACCUCUUUCACCCAUUUUAUAUCAUAUUCUUUAUGAACAGAGUCUCCCUCUGCUUCCCUAGUAGCCAAUUAAAAAAAUAACUACAACAAAAGCAGAAUUGGCUGUGUAUAACAGAGAUGCAGAAGAGAGAGCUAAUGUAUCCACACAAAUACCGGCCUUGAUCCCAUGAAGAUGUCUGCAUUAAAGUCAAUGAAAGAUCUGAGUGCAAAAAGUUAAGGGUAUGUGUCAGUCUUUGGCAGCUGAGACCCUGAAGCCCACUCAGACAUCCUGACUGGGCACAGGCAUAAACUUGACACUUGCAAUGUUUCACUUAGCUUUGACAAAAUGUGAUAUUCAGGGAGUUGCUUUAAAAAGAAAUACAAACAAAUUCUCCAUUAGUUUUAACACCCUUUCAAAUGAGCUUGGAAUAUAGCUUUCUUGUUUGUGAUACAUCCCUAGGAAUGAAUGGCUUAAA